CAGCGUGUGGGAAAGUUUGGGAAUCCGCGUGCUUCGGGAGCACGAGAUCGUCGGUUCAAAUCCGACCACGCUGA
rnacentral:tRNA from 1 species